rnacentral:rRNA from 1 species
UACGUAGGGCGCAAGCGUUAUCCGGAAUUAUUGGGCGUAAAGAGCUCGUAGGCGGUUUGUCGCGUCUGCCGUGAAAGUCCGGGGCUCAACUCCGGAUCUGCGGUGGGUACGGGCAGACUAGAGUGAUGUAGGGGAGACUGGAAUUCCUGGUGUAGCGGUGAAAUGCGCAGAUAUCAGGAGGAACACCGGUGGCGAAGGCG